GACGAACGCUGGCGGCGUGCCUAAUACAUGCAAGUUGAGCGCUGAAGGUUGGUACUUGUACCAACUGGAUGAGCAGCGAACGGGUGAGUAACGCGUGGGGAAUCUGCCUUUGAGCGGGGGACAACAUUUGGAAACGAAUGCUAAUACCGCAUAAAAACUUUAAACACAAGUUUUAAGUUUGAAAGAUGCAAUUGCAUCACUCAAAGAUGAUCCCGCGUUGUAUUAGCUAGUUGGUGAGGUAAAGGCUCACCAAGGCGAUGAUACAUAGCCGACCUGAGAGGGUGAUCGGCCACAUUGGGACUGAGACACGGCCCAAACUCCUACGGGAGGCAGCAGUAGGGAAUCUUCGGUAAUGGACGAAAGUCUGACCGAGCAACGCCGCGUGAGUGAAGAAGGUUUUCGGAUCGUAAAACUCUGUUGGUAGAGAAGAACGUUGGUGAGAGUGGAAAGCUCAUCAAGUGACGGUAACUACCCAGAAAGGGGCGGCUAACUACGUG
rnacentral:rRNA from 1 species